rnacentral:rRNA from 1 species
GAUGAACGCUGGCGGCGUGCCUAAUACAUGCAAGUCGAGCGAACAGACGAGGAGCUUGCUCCUCUGACGUUAGCGGCGGACGGGUGAGUAACACGUGGAUAACCUACCUAUAAGACUGGGAUAACUUCGGGAAACCGGAGCUAAUACUGGAUAAUAUAUUGAACCGCAUGGUUCAAUAGUGAAAGACGGUUUUGCUGUCACUUAUAGAUGGAUCCGCGCCGCAUUAGCUAGUUGGUAAGGUAACGGCUUACCAAGGCGACGAUGCGUAGCCGACCUGAGAGGGGGAUCGGCCACACUGGAACUGAGACACGGUCCAGACUCCGACGGGAGGCAGCAGUAGGGAAUCUUCCGCAAUGGGCGAAAGCCUGACGGAGCAACGCCGCGUGAGUGAUGAAGGUCUUCGGAUCGUAAAACGCUGUUAUUAGGGAAGAACAAAUGUGUAAGUAACUAUGCACGUCUUGACGGUACCUAAUCAGAAAGCCCCGGCUAACUACGUG